rnacentral:rRNA from 1 species
UUGAUCCUGGCUCAGAAUCAACGCUGGCGGCGUGCCUAACACAUGCAAGUCGAACGCGAAAGUGGAGCAAUCCAUGAGUAGAGUGGCAAACGGGUGAGUUACGCGUGGGCGACCCACCUCAGAGUGGGGGAUAACCUUCCGAAAGGAGGUCUAAUACCGCAUGACAUUCCGUCUUUAGAUAGACGGGUAUCAAAGCCGGUGAUCGCAAGACCUGGCGCUUGGAGAGGGGCCCGCGUCCGAUUAGCUAGUUGGUGAGGUAACGGCUCACCAAGGCUCCGAUCGGUAUCCGGCCUGAGAGGUCGGACGGACACACUGGGGCUGAGACACGGCCCAGACUCCUACGGGAGGCUGCAGUGGGGAAUUGUUCGCAAUGGGCGCAAGCCUGACGACGCAACGCCGUGUGGAGGAUGAAGACCUUCGGGUCGUAAACUCCUUUCGACCGAGAUGAAUACCCAUCGACCUAACACGUCGAUGGGCCGACAGUAUCGAGGGAAGAAGCUCCGGCUAACUCCGUGCCAGCAGCCGCGGUAAUAAGGU